rnacentral:rRNA from 1 species
AUUGAACGCUGGCGGCAGGCCUAACACAUGCAAGUCGAGCGGAUGAAGGGAGCUUGCUCCUGGAUUCAGCGGCGGACGGGUGAGUAAUGCCUAGGAAUCUGCCUGGUAGUGGGGGAUAACGUCCGGAAACGGGCGCUAAUACCGCAUACGUCCUGAGGGAGAAAGUGGGGGAUCUUCGGACCUCACGCUAUCAGAUGAGCCUAGGUCGGAUUAGCUAGUUGGUGGGGUAAAGGCAUACCAAGGCGACGAUCCGUAACUGGUCUGAGAGGAUGAUCAGUCACACUGGAACUGAGACACGGUCCAGACUCCUACGGGAGGCAGCAGUGGGGAAUAUUGGACAAUGGGCGCAAGCCUGAUCCAGCCAUACCGCGUGGGUGAAGAAGGUCUUCGGGUUGUAAAGCACUUUUAUUGGGAAAGAAAAGCAGCAGGUUAAUACCCCGCUGUUCUGACGGUACCCAAAGAAUAAGCACCGGCUAACUUCGUG